ACGGAGAGUUUGAUUCUGGCUCAGAACGAACGCUGGCGGCGUGGAUAAGACAUGCAAGUCGAGCGAGAUUUUUUCCUGUAGCAAUACAGGGAAACGUCUAGCGGCGAACGGGUGCUUAACACGUGGGCAAUCUGCCAAGAAGUGGGGGAUAGCUCGCCGAAAGGCGAAUUAAUACCGCAUGUGAUCAGAGUGGACAUCCAUUCGAAAUCAAAGUCGGGGCAACCUGACGCUUUUUGAGGAGCCCGCGGCCUAUCAGCUAGUUGGUGAGGUAACGGCCCACCAAGGCUUAGACGGGUAGCUGGUCUGAGAGGACGACCAGCCACACUGGGACUGAGACACGGCCCAGACACCUACGGGUGGCAGCAGUCGAGAAUUUUUCUCAAUGGGGGAAACCCUGAAGGAGCGACGCCGCGUGGAGGAUGAAGGUCUUCGGAUUGUAAACUCCUGUCAUUGGGGAACAAUGCGUAAAUAUUAACUGUAUUUGCGUUGAUAGUACCCGAAGAGGAAGAGACGGCUAACUCUGUGCCAGCAGCCGCGGUAAUACAGAGGUCUCAAGCGUUGUUCGGAUUCAUUGGGCGUAAAGGGUGCGUAGGCGGCGCGGUAAGUCGGGUGUGAAAUCUCGGAGCUUAACUCCGAAACUGCAUUCGAUACUGCCGUGCUUGAGGACUGGAGAGGAGACUGGAAUUUACGGUGUAGCGGUGAAAUGCGUAGAUAUCGUAAGGAAGACCAGUGGCGAAGGCGGGUCUCUGGACAGUUCCUGACGCUGAGGCACGAAGGCCAGGGGAGCAAACGGGAUUAGAUACCCCGG
rnacentral:rRNA from 1 species